GACGAACGCUGGCGGCGUGCCUAAUACAUGCAAGUAGGACGCAGUUGCGAACGGGCGAGUAACGCGUAGGUAACUACCUAUUAGAGGGGGAUAACUAUUGGAAACGAUAGCUAAUACCGCAUACUAGUAAAUGGACCUGCUGUGUGUUAGCUAGUAGGUAGGGUAAUGGCCUACCUAGGCAACGAUACAUAGCCGCCCUGGUAGGGUGAUCGGCCACACUGGGAGUGGGACACGGCCCAGACUCCUACGGGAGGCAGCAGUAGGGAAUCUGCGGCAAGGGGGGGAACCCGGACCGAGCAACGCCGCGUGAGGGAAGAAGGUUUUCGGAUCGUAAAGCUCUGUUGUUAAGGAAGCGGUACUUAACCAGAAAGGGACGGCUAACUACGUGCCAGCAGCCGCGGUAAUUC
rnacentral:rRNA from 1 species